rnacentral:rRNA from 1 species
CAGUAGCCGCGGGAAUACGUAGGUGGCAAGCGUUGUCCGGAAUUAUAGGGCGUGAAGGGCUUGCAGGCGGUUUCUUAAGUCUGAUGUGAAAGCCCCCGGCUCAACCGGGGAGGGUCAUUGGAAACUGGGAAACUUGAGUGCAGGAGAGGAGAGUGGAAUUCCACGUGUAGCGGUGAAAUGCGUAGAGAUGUGGAGGAACACCAGUGGCGAAGGCGACUCUCUGGUCUGUAACUGACGCUGAGGAGCGAAAGCGAGGGGAGCGAACAGGAUUAGAUACCCCAGUAGUCCCUGUCUCUUAUAC